UUUCUUUUUCUAUCUUGCUAUUUCUUCUGUUUCUCCUUUAUGUAUUUUUUUCCUUCGUUUAUUUAUUUAUUAUUUGUUUUUUUUUCUUUUUUUUUUUUGCUUAUUUACUUACGUGAAUCUCAUGCUAAAGAAAAAAAUUGCUGGUCAGUAAAGAACUUGUGACUAUUCAUUUCAACAAAUUCAGAACUGAGUUGCUGAAGCAGAAAUAUCAUUAUGGCAAAUAUUCUGCUCAAUGUCACAGAUUUGAUCGUCAGUUGUUUGACCAUAACCACUUGAGCAUAUCCCUUAGUGAUUGUCAACAUGUGUAUCUCUGAUCAUGAACAGCCGUAGUUGGGGAGCAUCAUAGCCAUUUAUUGAGAGGGAUUCUUUCGGGUUUGAAGAAAUGUAACAAAAGCAAAGUUCGAAGGAAAUAACCAUUUUUCAUACUUUCUAAGGGUAAGGAAAUAGGAGAUAACAGUUGCUACCCAAGGAUUAAAAAAAAGGUUACACUGUGAAUUAUCAAUUGCUUCUAUUAUUUGCCUCUCACUCUCUGUUUUCUACAGUUCAGUUAUUGCUUUCAGUGUUGUUUAAAAAGAAAACUAAUACAUGGAGGGACGGUGUGAACAAAAGUGCAAAAUGAAUUACAGGAAUCCAGUAAAUAUAAACAAAAUCUAUUUAGAACAAACGAUUUUGAUUACCAGUCCAACUCCGAAGCAACCUGAGUCAUCAAGAGACCUUGUAAAUUUCGUGAUGUAGAAAUAUAGACUAGAUUCUUGUAACAACACACAAUGCAUUGAUUGCUUUAAGGAAUCUCUAUAAAGUUGCUUAAUCCACGUGUUUAUUCACCGGCGGUGAAAAGUCUAGCUAGAAUAAACACGUGGAAAAUAUGCGCUUACUUAAACUUGGGACUACAGAUCAAAAUAACCUCCAUUCUACAUCCACUUCACAGCAGAAUUAUCAACUAAGAAAUCUACAAUAGUUUUACAGUGAUGACAAGUGGAAAUUACUCAGAAGUAUUACUACAACGUCUGUGUCACCUGUUGAUGACUAUGAAAGAACAACCUAAUUGAUGAUUAUGAAAGACAUGAAGGUGUACCAAAACACAAGAAUCUCCCUCCUCGUGAUGGUAUCGUUUUAUUUGGAAUACCAUUUUCCACGCUGUAUAACAUCAUCCGAUGUUCAUCAUCUUGGAACUAUAUUACUGUUUCGCUAAAGAUAUUGAAACAACUCCUUAUUAACUGCAUUUGUUAAAGAGUGUUACAUUUUUAAUGUAUGAUGCUGAUGCCAGGUAAAUCAAAUCAUGAUGGAUCCUUCGGGAGAAAACUCAUGAAAUAUUCACCAAUAAAUUUACUCCGGACUGUCUCUCAGACAAUGUAUGAACCAAUGCUUGGCAAUCAUUAAUAAUCCGUUUUAUAUUACACACAAAACCUGAAAUUUGAUGGGAGGAAUAUAAUCGAUUACAUCGACCAGGGUACUUAUUUCAUCGCGCGCGAAAGGUUGAAAGGCAAAGCUGACCUCCACGGACUUUGAACUCAGAAUGUAAAGCCGAAAGAAAUGCCGCUAAGCAUUUUAUCCGGCGUGCUAACGUUUCUGCCAGUUCACCGCCUUCGGUGAUAAUUAGCUUAUUAGUAUUCGGUGCCACUAAUUACUCAUCUCCAGUUAGAUCUUCAAUGCGACCUGUUUCCAUAAUGGAUGCCAAGAAAUGUGAUUUGGUGCAGGGAUUGAGAAUUUCUCAGAAUUUAAUGAUUGAGCAAAUGAAGAAAGCAAAUUCUGAAGAAUUCAUCCUUAUUUCCACCACGGCCAUCCAGUUCUACAAAUGCCACUCCAUACAAGUCUAAAUGUUGCUUGUAGUGCUGUACUUUUUUCUUAAUGGAAUUUUUGCUGAUGGGAAAGCAGCAGCGUACCAUAAGUCAACAUAUAACUCUUGUCCGAAGGAGUCUAAAAUAUGCUUAAUUUUAUGACAAUACAUAAUCCGGUGCUCUCAGAAGGCAAAUUUUUUCAGUCAUACCAAGUACUCUAUCAGUUAAUGCACUACAUCUAUGCCUUUUAAUUUUGUUUGUCUGGAGUCUUUGAUGAUUUGAGGAUGUGGUAUUAAAAAUCCAUCUAUAUAAAUAAUACUAU